CACUGUAUAGCUACUACAGCAUUAACCUUUUAAGUUAAAGAUGAGGAAACACUUUUCUCUGCAGUGA
rnacentral:tRNA from 1 species